UCACACUGACGCCGUGACGACCGGCGCGUUCGCCAGGACGUUACCGCCGCGUUCACCAGGACGUUACGUUACCGCCGCGUUCGCCAGGACGUUACAGCCGCGUUCGCCAGGACGUUACAGCCGCGUUCGCCAGGACGUUACAGCCGCGUUCGCCAGGACGUUACACCUUCAUCGGGUCCAAGUCUGAGUCCUGACAGGAGCUGAAAAGGCAGCAGACAGAAAGAGCGGAGAAAUAAAACGGCAGGUGACGGAAAACAACCGCCAGAGACUCGGCUUCCAACCGAGCAGCUAACGACUUUACUGUACACAUGAAACACACACGUGAGGGUUUAAAGACCUCCUGAAUGUUCCGCCUUGUCACAGGACACGAAGCUGGUGUCUGCUCAGGCUUCAGGAAAACUGGGAACUUGUUGCACCAGUUAGACCGGAUUUACUGCAGUCCAACACACACACACACACACACACACACACACACACACACACACACACACACACACUCUCUCUCUCUCUCUCUACAUUGUUUAAUAUUCUAAUGACUAUCAGUUUCAAUGACAGAAAAAGUAAAGCCCAAUGUUUCUGUGUUCUGUCUAAUAUUUCUGUUAUAAAGGGUUAAAUCUUACAGAGCAUUAAGAAGAGUUACUACAGCUCCCUCUAUCGACAAGGGUUAUGCAUUAACAUUAAUAAAAGACAUUUCUAUUGUGUGUUUGUACAGAAUGUGACAGACUCACAGUGACGUGUUUAAGUCUCUAUCAUUACAUGCAUUAACUCUGUGUCACUAGGUUACAGACACAAGAUACACAUUCAACAAACAUCCAUCUAUCUAUCCAUCUAUCUAUCUAUCUAUCUAUCUAUCUGUCUGUCUGUCUAUCUGU